GUCCUGGGGCAGGGAAGCGCUGUGUGCUGGGCCCCUUGGGAGCGGGAGGGCAGCCUUCCCAGCACGCGGUGGAGUCCACGCGCUGUCACCUGUUCCAAGCAGUUUCCAUGUGGGCCUACUGUCAGGCUCUCUGGAUUUGCUCAGUAGGCUCUGAAUAACAGUACCUGACAAACCAGAUCUAGAUUCCCAAGGGUGGUCUUGCUGGUCAGGCAGAAGAAGAGUGUCUCCCAAGCAAUCUCUACCGGAAGGGCCUGUUGCCCAAAGUUCUGCCGGAAGGGCCUGUUACCCAAGGCUGACCGCCAUGUGUCUCAAGGGAGUGAUCCUUGAGGGAGGACCUGAACCACUGCACUCUGGGGAGUCACUAGGGCCCGAGGAACGGCUGUCACUGAUGGGUGUCUUGCAAUGUUUAACAUGAGGAAUGUCUCCCCUCUCUGUGUCCACACCCAAACCACCCCUCAGAGACUCCUAUCUGUGUGGUUCCAGUUGAAAAUUUUUCCUUGGGAGUCAUCUCAGAAAUAGUUUGUUUAGGCCGGACACAGUAGCUCACACCUGCAAUCUCAGCACUUCGGGAGGCCGAGGCAGGUGGAUUGCUUGAGGCCAGGAGUUCAAAACCACCCUGGGCAACAUAGCAAGACUCUGUCUGUACAAAAAAUACACAGAUUAGCCAGGCAUGGUAGCAUGUACCUGUAGUCCCAGCUACUCAGGAUGCUGAGGCUGGAGGAUUGCUUGAGCCCGGGUAGGGGAGGCUGCUGUGAGCCGAGGUCGCACCACUGCAUUCCAGCCUGGGCGACAGAGCCAGACCCUGCCUUAAAAAAAAAAAAGAAAGAAAUAGUUCCAUUUAAGCGGGGGUGUGGAUCGGAUUAUAUGGGCCAAAAGCUUUGUGUUUCACAGCCACUGUGAAAUAAGGGACGUUGAUGAAGAGCCUCCUUUGAAGUUGGCAGAGAUGGGUUUGAAGUCAGAGUUGGGGUAACACCAUGUGGUAUCUUCCGUGUAAAAGCCAGAUUGGAUCUUUGUGUUUAUUUUCCACUCUGUGUCCAUGGCCUGCAGUUUUAUACCCCCCAUCCCCAGUAGAUGUUCUGGCUCAAAGGGUGAAAAUGGCUGUCCACAUCCCCACGCCCUUUUUCAAACGAGUUUGCUGAAUUGUUAAUAGGGAUCAUUUCCACUGCAUACUGCGGCUUGGAAGCUUUGACUGUUGAGGUCUCCUGAGCAAAUCAGGUGUACAGUUCUGAGUUGGAGAAGGACUUAGAAGUGACCCAGUCCAUCCCGCCAUCUCCCAGUGUCUCUAAUUGUCCCCGAUGGUGAGCACACAGGCUGACCUGGCGGCACCCGCUACUGAGAGCUUGUUCCUCACUGGAGAGGCCUUUGCUCUGUCCCAUCCCAGGGGACGAAGUCCGUCUUCCUGCCGAUUCCAGCCCCUUCUCAGCAGUGCACACAGCUUGUUCCCAAAUCGUUGAGCUCAGAAGUUGUGAUGUACUAUCUUCCCUUCAGCAAGCUGGGCAGCUGCAGUAGCUAAAGUUGAUCCUUGGACCCCAUGGUCUGCUGGCUGCCAUUCCCAGCUCCUGCGUCUGGUUCCAAAGCCACUGCUCCAUGUGGGUCUGGGGUGGAGCCACGCGGCCACACCCACACUGCCCUCUGACCACACCCAGUACUGUUGAGAUUCACCAGGCUCGCCAUGUGUAUUCUUCUCUGGCCCUGCAGCAGGAGCCCGAGCUUUUCCAAGCCGCCCACGAACAUGGCACACAGUGCUCAUCGGGAACGUGAGCUAUGAGGCAUCUCCUCUAAGGAGGGCUUAGAUGUUGGGGGCGACCCAUGGGGGAACUCCUGGUACCGUCUUUGGGAAAGUGGGGAAGAGGCUUCCCCUCGUGCCCCACACACAUACACAGUCUCAGACUGGUUACAGGCCUCGGGAUUUGUUUAUCAGUUUAAGCCAAUCCUCUAAGCAGACCCUGCCAGGUCACAGACAUACCCUGUGGUCAGAAACAUUUUGCUGUUUGCCUGCCCCAUCUCAGGUGACUCUGUGGGCUCUGCCCACCCGGGAUUAGCACCAGUCGGUGUGAGCAGGGGGCACACAGCGCACAAAGCCAAGAGCCAGGGAGUGUUUCUGCCGGAAGUGCAUCCCCCACAGUCUGCAGGCAGCCCCAGUGGGGCUGGGGAUUAACCCAUCCUCUGAGGACUUCCAGGUCGCCAAACACGUUGGACCAGAAAGUGCCCUCAGCGCUGUGAUCCGCUGAUUCUGGGCCUGGCAUUGUAACUCCAGGCUUCCCUGCCCGCUGGACACGCUGAGCCAGUCAGAAGCUGCCUGCAGCCUUUCUCACCUCCGAGUUCACGGUUGUCAGG